UUGGGGCUGCCAUCGUGGUGUUUUGCAUCCGCACAUAAUCUGUAGGUGUUAUCAUCGGAUAUAUGUGCUGGAUUUUCAAUUUAUGGCAUGACAUGUGAUGGAAUUUCAGCUGGAGGUGGUUGUUACCUACUGGUGAGAGAAGCUAUUGAUAACACACCAUGCAUUGCAAACAUAAAGAAAAACAUUAUUGUGCAUACAUGUCUGUACUACUGAUGCUAUUUUACAUGGAAAUCAGUGAAUUGGUUUGGUUUGGUUUGUGAUGCUGACAUGCUGUAGUGAUAGUAGUAUGAUUAUACAUAAGAAAAUUACUAUACUAUUCUAUUUGCAACAAGCUGGGUCUGUGCUGGUCUGUUCUGAAAAAUGUCCAACUAGAUAGCUUCUGCCACUUUUGGUUAUAUUCAGGGGUAAUUAAUCUGUACUCAUACAGUUGAUAAUGCAAUUCAGGGGUGUCAAUCGUAUUAUAUUAACAACAAUCUGUCUUAGGUUCUUUUGUUCAAAUAUCUGCCCAGGAUGUUUCUGUGUAAUCUUACAUUCAGAACUCAAGCUUAUUAUUGAAUUUGGUAACUAGAUUAUGCAUUUUGGUUCAUAUCCAUGUCUGUAGGGUGUGCCCAGUUUUCAAUGCAUUGCAAUGCCUGUUCAGGUUAGUGAUUUGGGAGAAAUAUGUGCAGCGGGUAGUAGUUGCUGCUUCCUAACAAAGGAAGUCUGACUACACAAAUAAUUAAUCUGUGUUCCAGAAUUAGACCGCAUCCUCAUUGUUUAUAGAUGCACCAAGCAAUGAUUGAUGCUUGCUAAUUAUAGGAAUGGUAACUUCUUGCAUAAUUAAUCUAUAGGUUACAUAGUCCAUUAGGCCAUCUGCUUAUUGUUUAUAUACGAAAAAAUAACAGUUACUCCUUGCUGAUAAAGGAAAGUUGGGUAGGAAGAAAUCUACAUAGACAACCUUCUGAUUUUUUAUAUAUGCAUCAAGCAAUAGUUGGUACUCGCUGAUUACAUUAAUGGUAACUACAGAAACUUUUCUAUGCUCAGCAUUAUCGGCGCUCUCAGAUUUGGAGUUGUACUUUGUUAUUGUGAAUAAUGAAUAUGGUCAACAAUCUGAAGAAGAGUCAACUUCUACCGGGAGAGUGAUGGGUGUUACUGCCGGGAGAUCUGCUUCUUGCCGGGACAGUGAUAUGUGUUACUAAUCUCCUAUUUAGUGUUGCUCUAGGAUCGGUAGUACUAUAUGAAAGAUCAAACAUUGCAUUCCUCUUGUUCUAAUGCAAAUGAUUGCUUAUGUGGUUGCAGAUCGAUUUGCGAUCCGUUAAGCGGACCAUGGUGUCACGGAAUGAGCAAUCAGAGAAAAGUGUUUUCACCAAAAGUGAGGUGAGAUGUUUCUGUUCAUCUUGGUUGUACUUAAGAUAAGAUUUAGCUACAGAUAAUCAUUAAUCACCUAAUGUAUUUCUUUGCCAAGUGUGCAGUUAGAGUUAAUGUGUCACUGGUUAUUUUACAUCCUUUAUUCUUAUUCCCUUUAACCUCAAAAUGAAAUACUCUAGAAGAUUUGUUGGUGCUCCAUUAACCAAAUAUUGCUAACAAAAUGUUGUUCCCAUUUCAGUUGAGAGAAAAAUUGCAUACUUUGCGAACCAACGGAAGAUUCAUCAUUUAAUAUUAUUCUUUAAUCACUAAAUCAUAUAGGAGAUUCCUUUGGUGCCCCAUUAACCAAACAUUAAUAUAUUACUAAAAAAACUGACAAAAUGUUAUUCUGGUUGCGAUUAAGCCCUGCUGAGGCGAGGUCGUCCCUUUUACCCGCUUACAUCCUCAAUCGGUGAGUCCUGACACCCCUCUAUUGAUUGAUCCAUAUAUCGCCAGGAAAAAUGGCUAUCAGUUCAGCUACUAUUGAACUAUUAAUUAUUGUUUUUAGGGAAAUUAAUUACUCCUUGGAGAAUCAUAGAUCCAUGUUCUAUUUUUGUCAUGUAAGUUAGGUUAUAACUAUGUAGUUACAACCAUAUAUUUAGAGUUGCGAUAAAAAGCAAUUAGUAAUAGAAACAAGUCAAUUAUGCGACUUGGUUGCGUCUUUGCUACCUAUUCAGUCAAUGCAAUGCUCGAUUUUAGUUUCUUUGGGCAUGUGCUCUAUAUAGCUUUCUGGUCUCUCCUUCUGGCCUACCAUAUUGUUUUAUAAUUUAUCUCUGUUCACAAACCCAGGCUUAGUCAGUGUUACACCGUAUUAGACUAUGUAUUCUGCCCAGCAGGGAUUAUUUAUCUGUGCUUCUUGGUGUGUCUAGAGUCUUGCUUAGAGAAAAGUCAGUUCACAUCUUAGUAGCUUUUGUUGUUUAAUUAGUUAGCAUGUGCAGGUUCAUAUAGCAGUACACAUGUGUGAAUAGAAAUUCUUCAUGCAAGGUGGCAGUAAAAGGCCUUCUAAUUUUACCUUCGGCACUACAAGCAGCUAAUAGAUAGGCCCAUCGCUUGCAUGAUGAUAAGUUUUGGCCACAAGAAUGUUCUAACAAAUCUUAUCCUUGAUUGCAGCUAAAAGAGAACUGACUAGGCCCCUGAUGGUGCUCCUAGAUGUGCUACACAUCGCCUCCUUGGCCGCUUCGGUGCCAGUGGUGUUCGUGCUUGUCGGCAGGACGGUGCAAGGCGCAACUCCGACAUGGUUCCUCGCCAGUUGGAUGGUGUUCAGGCGCAACCCCGGCGCCCACUGAGUACUGCCUCGGCUACAACCUCCCUCGGUGAGCUCCAUUUUCCCCUGCCCUGCUUCGGCUACUGAAUGGGACAUGGCUAGGGCUAUGAUGAUCAGUUAUGGCUGAUAUAGGCAUGCUCUCGAGCAAUCGAGGCACUUGUGGAUAUUAUUUUGGAUCCUCCCUCAUUUCUUUGAGCCGUUUUGAUCACGUUCUUAUUUUAGUGGCUCUGUCCCUAGAUGGUCAUUUCUGAUGAGUGAUAACCAGGGCAGUUAACAUAUUGAUCUGGUGAUCCAUCCAUCCAGAAAUAAGAGAUGAAUGUUCCUACAAGCUCUCACAGCGAUUUGGAUUCUGGGCCGUUGGAUCUGGUUGCGUGAUCGGAUCUGGGCCGUCGGAUCGAGUCGCUGGAUGACCUACGCCAUCGGAUCCGAUCCUUGGAACUGUCGCAAUGAAUAGUAGUCCAAAACGCGUGCCACCGCGUGUUAAUCACGUGCCCCAUCGGUUGGAAGCCAUUCUUGCUAGGGCGAUGAUGAUUAACCGUCGCUGAAAUAAGUGUGCCUUUGAGCAGUCGAGGCACCUGUGGGUAUCAAGUUGGAUCCUCCCCCUUGUCUCUAGAAUCCUUUUUUAUCCUGAGAUACUUGUUGUUGUCCUUGUAUGGUCAUUCUUGUUGAGUGAUAACCAGGGCAGCUCUACUGUAUAAACAAAUUGAUCUGGUGAUAAGAGAUGAUGGGGUUAGGUUAUAUGAUCGAGGAAAGGUGAAUUUGAGCCCACUGUGCAAUAAAACUGCAGCUACCUCCCCUACUGUGUGUGAUACUGAAGGCAAAAAAGAACUUUUCAUGUCUUGCUACUUUAAAAAUCCAAAAGGUUCAUUCUUCCUUUGCUGGUUACUUAACCAUGAUUUUUUUUGCUUUGGUUCUGGUUGAGAUACUAAAGGUUGUUUAUAUAUGAAAAGAACAGUCACUUAUAGUUUUGUAUGCCUCAACUGUAGCUUAGGAUCCCGUGUUGUAGUGCUUUGCCUAAUUAAGAAUAACUCUAAUCAAUAAUAGUAUUUCUUUCCUUCUGAUUUGAACUGAGAGAGGGCCAUUGAUUCUUGACCUUAAGGUGACCCCAUUUUUUCUAUGCCUCAUGCUUAUGCUGCUCUAUGUUCCCUUUAAAAAUCCCGGCUGGCAUGCCUCGCCUCCACCUCCCGUGGCCCUAACCCAGGGUUUGGUUGGCGAGCUCGCUGCCGUUGGCCUUGGACGAGGAGAUUCGGCACACACACAGGAAGGAGCUCCGCCUCUGCUGCCUCUGCACACCCCAAUGGUGAUCGACCAUUUUUAAUUACUGGAUCUGAUGAUCAGACUGCAAAGGUUUGGGAUUACCAAACCAAGAGCUGUGUUCAAACACUUGAAGGACAUGCACACAAUGUGUCCGUUGUCUGUUUCCAUCCAGAACUACCUACUAUAAUUACUGGCUCAGAGGAUGGCACAGUUCGCUUGUGGUACUCUACAACCUACAGGAAACGCUCGGCAAGCCACACCACCUACGAUGUGGUGAUCCCCCUCCCAUCGAGAACUGCCAUGUAGUUUUCUCUGCCAAGGUUGUUGUCUGUGUCGGUCUACUACGUGGUGCAUUGCCUUCAGUGGAGUGUGGCAUAUGCUUUUGGUUUCUUGUAUUGUUUCUGGUAGAACCUAGGACCGUUGUUCUGGAUGCUCAUUUUGUGUUACAGUGGCUACCAAGCAAACCAAUUGCAUGGCAGAUACGAUCUCUAGAAAAUGGUAGUUGUCACUCGACUUAUGGAUGUGCUGUCAGGAAGGUGCAUUCCUAUGUAAAAUGUGGCUUCUAUGUAUGAUGUACGAAUUGUUUGAUUAUUAUUGCUGUUGUGCUUUGCGUGGUUAAUUUGAUCUAUUAUUUGCUUUGUUUAUUUGCUGUCUUACAAGGCUAAUUUAGUGCUUGGGGCUGCUAUGUGUUUUCAUGU